rnacentral:rRNA from 1 species
AGGACGAACGCUGGCGGCGUGCUUAACACAUGCAAGUCGUACGAUGAUGCCGCAACUUGUUGUGGUGGAUUAGUGGCGAACGGGUGAGUAACACGUGAGUAACCUGCCUUUCACUCUGGGAUAAGCCUUGGAAACGAGGUCUAAUACUGGAUAUGACUUCUUGCCGCAUGGUGGGGGGUGGAAAGCCUUCGGGUGGUGGAUGAUGGACUCGCGGACUAUCAGCUUGUUGGUGGGGUUGUGGCCUACCAAGGCUUUGACGGUUAGCCGGCCUGAGAGGGUGAUCGGCCACAUUGGGACUGAGAUACGGCCCAGACUCCUACGGGAGGCAGCAGUGGGGAAUAUUGCACAAUGGGCGAAAGCCUGAUGCAGCGACGCCGCGUGGGGGAUGAAGGCCUUCGGUUGUAAACGUCCUUUCGCUCGUGACGAAGCCGUUUCGGGUGACGGUAGCGGGAGAAGAAGCACCGGCUAACUACGCGCCAGCAGCCGCGGUAA